rnacentral:rRNA from 1 species
AUAUGUUAAUAGCAUACUCAUUUGACGUUAGCUGCAGAAGAAGCACCGGCUAACUCCGUGCCAGCAGCCGCGGUAAUACGGGAGGGUGCGAGACGUUAAGUCGGUAAUUACGUGGGACGUAAAGCGCAUGCAGGUGGUUUGUUAAGUCAGAUGUGAAAGCCCGGGGCUACAACCUACGGUAAUUGCUAUUUAGAAACUGGCAAACUAGAGUACUGUAGAGGGGGUAGAAUUUCAGGUGUAGCGGUGAAAUGCGUAGAGAUCUGAAGGAAUACCGGUGGCGAAGGCGGCCCCCUCGGACAGAUACUGACACUCAGAUGCGAAAGCGUGGGGAGCAAACAGGAUUAGAUACCCUGGUAG